UCCAGACUCCUACGGGAGGCAGCAGUGGGGAAUAUUGGACAAUGGGGGGAACCCUGAUCCAGCGACGCCGCGUGAGUGAAGAAGUAUCUCGGUAUGUAAAGCUCUAUCAGCAGGGAAGAAAGAAAUGACGGUACCUGACUAAGAAGCCCCGGCUAACUACGUGCCAGCAGCCGCGGUAAUACGUAGGGGGCAAGCGUUAUCCGGAUUCACUGGGUGUAAAGGGAGCGUAGACGGCGACGCAAGUCUGGAGUGAAAGCCCGGGGCCCAACCCCGGGACUGCUCUGGAAACUGCGGCGCUGGAGUACGGGAGGGGCAGGCGGAAUUCCUGGUGUAGCGGUGAAAUGCGUAGAUAUCAGGAGGAACACCGGCGGCGAAGGCGGCCUGCUGGACCGUGACUGACGUUGAGGCUCGAGAGCGUGGGGAGCAAACAGGAUUAGAUACCCCCGUAGA
rnacentral:rRNA from 1 species